AUGGGUAUAGCUCAGUGGUAAUGUUCAUGCUUACCAAGCAUGAGGUCCUGAGUUCAAACCCCACUACCUCUA
rnacentral:tRNA from 1 species